rnacentral:rRNA from 1 species
UACGUAGGCAGCGAGCGUUGUUCGGAAUUACUGGGCGUAAAGCGUGCGCAGGCGGUGAUGUAAGACAGUUGUGAAAUCCCCGGGCUCAACCUGGGAACUGCAUCUGUGACUGCAUCGCUGGAGUGCGGCAGAGGGGGAUGGAAUUCCGCGUGUAGCAGUGAAAUGCGUAGAUAUGCGGAGGAACACCGAUGGCGAAGGCAAUCCCCUGGCCUGUACUGACGCUCAUGCACGAAAGCGUAGGGGAGCGA